GUGGGGAAUUUUGGACAAUGGGCGCAAGCCUGAUCCAGCAAUGCCGCGUGCAGGAAGAAGGCCUUCGGGUUGUAAACUGCUUUUGUACGGAACGAAACGGUCCUGGUUAAUACCUGGGGCUAAUGACGGUACCGUAAGAAUAAGCACCGGCUAACUACGUGCCAGCAGCCGCGGUAAUACGUAGGGUGCGAGCGUUACUCGGAAUUACUGGGCGUAAAGCGUGCGCAGGCGGUGCUGUAAGACAGGCGUGAAAUCCCCGGGCUCAACCUGGGAAUUGCGCUUGUGACUGCAGUGCUGGAGUACGGCAGAGGGGGAUGGAAUUCCGCGUGUAGCAGUGAAAUGCGUGGAUAUGCGGAGGAACACCGAUGGCGAAGGCAAUCCCCUGGGCCUGCACUGACGCUCAUGCACGAAAGCGUGGGGAGCAAACAGGAUUAGAUACCCGAGUAGUCC
rnacentral:rRNA from 1 species